rnacentral:rRNA from 1 species
CGCAUCUAGAUUAGACUUUGAUCCUGGCUCAGGACGAACGCUGGCGGCGUGCCUAACACAUGCAAGUCGAGCGGGGAACCCCUUCGGGGGUUUCUAGCGGCGGACGGGUGAGUAACGCGUGAGCAACCUUUCCUUCACAGGGGGAUAACGCAGCGAAAGCUGUGCUAAUACCGCUUAAGACCACAGAGUCGCAUGGCUUAGGGGUCAAAGGAGCAAUCCGGUGAAGGGUGGGCUCGCGUCUGAUUAGCUAGUUGGCGGGGUAAAGGCCCACCAAGGCGACGAUCAGUAGCCGACCUGAGAGGGUGAUCGGCCACACUGGGACUGAGACACGGCCCAGACUCCUACGGGAGGCAGCAGUGGGGAAUAUUGGGCAAUGGGGGAAACCCUGACCCAGCAACGCCGCGUGAGGGAAGAAGGUUUUCGGAUCGUAAACCUCUGUCCUUGGGGACGAAGAAGUGACGGUACCCAAGGAGGAAGCCCCGGCUAACUACGUGCCAGCAGCCGCGGUAAUACGUAGGGGGCAAGCGUUGUCCGGAAUGAUUGGGCGUAAAGGGCGCGUAGGCGGCCUGUUAAGUCUGGAGUGAAAGUCCUGCUUUCAAGGUGGGAAUUGCUUUGGAAACUGGCGGGCUGGAGUGCAGGAGAGGUUAGCGGAAUUCCCGGUGUAGCGGUGAAAUGCGUAGAGAUCGGGAGGAACACCAGUGGCGAAGCGGCUAACUGGACUGUAACUGACGCUGAGGCGCGAAAGUGUGGGGAGCAAACAGGAUUAGAUACCCUGGUAGUCCACACGGUAAACGAUGAAUGCUAGGUGUAGGGGGUAUCGACCCCUUCUGUGCCGGAUCAACACAAUAAGCAUUCCGCCUGGGGAGUACGGCCGCAAGGUUGAAACUCAAAGGAAUUGACGGGGGCCCGCACAAGCAGCGGACAUGUGGUUUAAUUCGAAGCAACGCGAAAACCUUACCAGGUCUUGACAUCCAGUUUAAGCUUGUAGAGAUACAGGGGCCUUGCAAACUGAGACAGGUGGUGCAUGGUCGUCAGCUCUGCGAGAUGUUGGGUAAGUCCGCACAGCAUUUCAUCUACGUAAGGCGCUCACUGCGAAACCCUCCGGGUU